UACGGGGGGGGCAAGCGUUGUUCGGAAUUACUGGGCGUAAAGGGCUCGUAGGCGGCCAACUAAGUCAGACGUGAAAUCCCUCGGCUUAACCGGGGAACUGCGUCUGAUACUGGAUGGCUUGAGGUUGGGAGAGGGAUGCGGAAUUCCAGGUGUAGCGGUGAAAUGCGUAGAUAUCUGGAGGAACACCGGUGGCGAAGGCAGGUCUCUGGGCUGACACUGACGCUCAUGCACGAAAGCGUGGGGAGCAAACAGG
rnacentral:rRNA from 1 species